ACUCAAAUGAAUUGACGGGGACCCACACAAGCGGUGGAACAUGGGGUUUAAUUCGAUGGUAAACGGAGAACCUCACCCAGGCUUGACAUCUAAGGAAUGCCCCUGAAAGGGGGCAGUGCCGCAAGGAACCUUAAGACAGGCGAUGCACGGUCGUCGUCAGCUCGUGCCUUGAGGUGUACUGUUAAGUCAGCGAACGAGCGCAACCCUCAUCCUAUGUUGUUUUUUCAUGGGAGACUGCCGCCUCCAAGGCGGAGGAAGGUGGGGAUGACGUCAGAUCAGCGUGUCCUUUAUGCCUGGGGCUACACCCAUGUUACAAUGGUCGAUACAAAGAGCAGCGAAGCCGCAAGGUGGAGCCAAUCUCAUCAAAAUCGACCUCAGUUCGGAUUGCCGGCUGCAACUCGCCGGCAUGAAGUUGGAAUCGCUAGUAACCGUAGGUCAGCGAUACUACGGUGAAUAAGUUCCUGGGUCUUGUACACACCGCCCGU
rnacentral:rRNA from 1 species